rnacentral:rRNA from 1 species
CAGUAGCCGCGGUAAUACGUAGGUGGCAAGCGUUGUCCGGAAUUAUUGGGCGUAAAGGGCUCGCAGGCGGUUUCUUAAGUCUGAUGUGAAAGCCCCCGGCUCAACCGGGGAGGGUCAUUGGAAACUGGGAAACUUGAGUGCAGAAGAGGAGAGUGGAAUUCCACGUGUAGCGGUGAAAUGCGUAGAGAUGUGGAGGAACACCAGUGGCGAAGGCGACUCUCUGGCCUGUAACUGACGCUGAGGAGCGAAAGCGUGGGGAGCGAACAGGAUUAGAUACCCCAGUAGUCCCUGUCUCUUAUAC